rnacentral:tRNA from 1 species
ACUCCUGUGGCGGAAUGGCAGACGCGGCGGACUUAAAAUUCGUUGGUUGUGGGUUCGACUCCCACCGGGAGUA